rnacentral:rRNA from 1 species
UGGUUUAAUUCGACGCAACGCGAAGAACCUUACCAGGGCUUGACAUCCCCUGACCGCGUAUGAAAGUACGUUUUCACCCUCGGGUGGACAGGGAGACAGGUGGUGCAUGGGUUGUCGUCAGCUCGUGUCGUGAGAUGUUGGGUUAAGUCCCGCAACGAGCGCAACCCCUGCAUUCAGUUGCCAACGGUAAGGCCGGGCACUCUGGAUGGACUGCCGGCGACAAGCCGGAGGAAGUGGGAUGACGUCAAGUCAUCAUGGCCCUUAUGUCCAGGGCGACACACGUGCUACAAUGGCCGGCACAGCGGGAAGCGAGGGGGCGACCUUGAGCGGAUCCCUCAAAGCCGGUCUCAGUUCGGAUUGCAGUCUGCAACUCGACUGCAUGAAGUUGGAAUCGCUAGUAAUCGUGGAUCAGAAUGUCACGGUGAAUACGUUCCCGGGUCUU